AGCGAACGCUGGCGGCAGGCUUAACACAUGCAAGUCGAGCGGGCCCUUCGGGGUCAGCGGCAGACGGGUGAGUAACGCGUGGGAACGUGCCCUUCGGUUCGGAAUAACUCAGGGAAACUUGAGCUAAUACCGGAUACGCCCUUAUGGGGAAAGGCUUGCUGCCGAAGGAUCGGCCCGCGUCUGAUUAGCUAGUUGGUGAGGUUAUGGCUCACCAAGGCGACGAUCAGUAGCUGGUCUGAGAGGAUGAUCAGCCACACUGGGACUGAGACACGGCCCAGACUCCUACGGGAGGCAGCAGUGGGGAAUAUUGGACAAUGGGGGCAACCCUGAUCCAGCCAUGCCGCGUGAGUGAUGACGGCCUUAGGGUUGUAAAGCUCUUUUAUCCGGGACGAUAAUGACGGUACCGGAGGAAUAAGCCCCGGCUAACUUCGUG
rnacentral:rRNA from 1 species